AAAAAAAAAAAUGAACGAAAAACAAAUAUGUAACACAUAAACAAACUACAACCACUGAAUUACAGGCUCCUGACUUGGGACAGGCACAUACAUAAAUAAUGUGGCGGGGUUAAACAUGUUAGCGGGAUCCCAACCCUCCCCCUAACCUGGGACAGUGGUAUAACAGUACAACAUAAGAACGAACUAUAACAAUCAGUUGAAAAAGGC
rnacentral:lncRNA from 1 species